rnacentral:lncRNA from 1 species
AUGCCACCCCACUCCAACAAGGGACUCAUUGCUGGCCUCCCUACAGUGAAAUGGUGCUUGAUACUGUUAUACCUGCCUCAGACUCCAGGGUCAGGACCUAACAAGAGAGUUACUUCUCUACUGCCCGUGAACCAACAUCUACACCCAAGUAACAGAUGCCAUUGGUCCAGGGAUGAUCCAGAAAGCCAAAGCCCUUUAGGUCUGGUGCCCUCAUGUGACUCCAGACAGGCCAUUCAUGUGGAUCAUGCUGGUCCUGAGCCAACCUUCAGCCAGAUAGCCCCUAUCUGCUGGAGUCAAGAGAAUUUCACCAUGGCAUCUUGGGUUUCAUCAGCCACAAUUGACAGAGGAAGGUGGAGGUCCCUGCCUUGGUGUACCUCAUCUUGGGCCUUACAAUCUCAAUGUGGAAACAGUGAAUAAACAUGCUUUCUUUAAGAUGAUUCUUUGUCACCUUUGAGCCAGUGUAUGCUUUGUGCACCCUGGUGAUGCUGAUCACACUUUCUCUUGAUUUCUGACCCCAGUGCUUUGUAUCAUGGGAUUGUUCCUAAGCCCUACUAUACCCC